rnacentral:piRNA from 1 species
CUUAGACGUGGACUCAUCUCAAAAG